GGGGUGGCCCCCGGCAUUUGCGGGCGACUGGAGCGAACAGGCGGGUCUGUGGUACUCGCCGUCGGCGCCCAGUGCUGCGGACGCCGGGUACGGCUGCUGACUGGCAUUAUAACCGAACCCGUUGGCUGCCUGGACUGAUAUUUGCCAAAAGAACCAUGACGCAGGGUGACUUCCCGUCCAGGCCCUUCUUGGACCUUCCAGCACCCAAGAGAGGCAGGUCCCAGCAGGCCACUCCCACCUCUUUGCCCCUGUUACAGAAGGUCUCCAGACCCUCCUGCCUUGGACUUUCUGAGGUCCUGUUAUUCAGGGCAACUAUCAAAUUCUACCUGUUAAAACAUGAUGGAUUAGAGAAAAAAAAAACCCAUCAGGAACCUGAAAAACCAGCGUCAU